UACUGGUUUGUAAUUCUACAUAAAGUGA
rnacentral:piRNA from 1 species